AACGAACGCUGGCGGCAGGCUUAACACAUGCAAGUCGAACGCAUCGCAAGAUGAGUGGCAGACGGGUGAGUAACGCGUGGGAACAUACCCUUUUCUACGGAAUAGCUCUGGGAAACUGGAAUUAAUACCGUAUACGCCCUACGGGGGAAAGAUUUAUCGGGGAAGGAUUGGCCCGCGUUGGAUUAGCUAGUUGGUGGGGCAAAGGCCUACCAAGGCGACGAUCCAUAGCUGGUCUGAGAGGAUGAUCAGCCACAUUGGGACUGAGACACGGCCCAAACUCCUACGGGAGGCAGCAGUGGGGAAUAUUGGACAAUGGGCGCAAGCCUGAUCCAGCCAUGCCGCCUGAGUGAUGAAGGCCUUAGGGUUGUAAAGCUCUUUCACCGAUGAAGAUAAUGACGGUAGUCGGAGAAGAAGCCCCGGCUAACUUCGUGCCAGCCGCCGCCGUAA
rnacentral:rRNA from 1 species